GGGCCCUCCCUCCCUCGCGACUCCAGGUGCGCGGCGGUCCGUCCUCGCUCGGUAGCAGCUCUCGGGCUAGAGCUCAGCCCGAGGACGUCGCGAAGGUCCCCCGAGCGGCUGCUUACCGAGCCCCGCGGGGCGCAGCUCCCGGGCCCUGUGCGCAUGCGUGCUACCCCGACCUGUGCACCCAGGCAGGGACAGUUCCCAGAAGCCAGCAAGGGAAUUCUUGAUCUGGAGCUACAGAGGAGUUGUUCUAUGACAACAGUCCAGCCUCUGAAGUAACAUUUCAUGAAGAGCUUUGGAAGUACUGGAGUGGAGUGGAGAGAUCUUGUAAGAGGAAUUGAACUUGGGACCUUGCGCUUUCAAGGCAGGUGUUGGAACCACUGAGCUAAAUCUCCGGCCCAUGUUGCAGUACCUGUGAGAACUUGCUAAGUCCUGAGCUAUGCUCUGCUAUGAAUCGGGAACAUAGAGAUGGUUCUUGCACCAAGAGAGCUCAAGGUCAGCAAAUGGAAGUAACACAGGGUGAUGAUUACAAUGGAGACAUGAAAAAGGAUGAUCAGCUUUGCUGGGGAAGUGAGAAAAUGCUUCAUUCACAAGUUCAUUCAUUCAAUAUGCAUUUAUUGAGCACUUGCUGUAUGACGGGAAUCAUGCUAUGUACUGACUUUAAAGAGUGAAUGGAGCCCCAGUGCCCAGGAGUAGAGCUACCCUCGGUGCAGAGGAGGUGAACCUUCCAGGCCACCGUACCACUGCCCCCAGUGCCUAGAAGCAGAGCUGUCCCCAGUACAAAGGAGGUGAACCUUUCAGGCUGCCGUACCACUGCCAAGGAGGUGAGGAAGGUGGGUGCCAGCAGCACACCACCCCCACCUUGAAAUGAGAAGACACUUAAACAAGUCUCAAAACCAGACUCCCACAUCACCUAAAGGGAAAUGAGAUGGAACAAUCUGAUACUCAACCACCUGGACUCCCUGAACUGGAAACAAAAGAGGAUCUGGAAAAUAUGAAAUCAGAAAUAAUUUCUCAGAUAAUAGCAGAGAUUGUUCCCAUAGUGCAAGACAUGAUUAAUAAAUCUAGAAAGGACACAGAUAAAAAAAUAGAGGAGCUGAGGAACAUGAUGGAAUCCCAACAUAGGAAACAAAUAGAAUCCAUAAAACAGAUGCAAACAGAUUUCCAGGAGAUUAAAAACUCCAUUGAAAGUUUACACAGCAGAAUGAGCCAAUGUGAGGACUGAAUUUCAGAUAUAGAAGAUGAGAUUGCAAUUAGUGAGCAGGAAAAUAAAAAUUUCUUUAAAAUAAUAAGGGACCAUGAGAAAUCAAUCCAGUAGCUGCUAGACAAUACAAAGAAAAAUAACAUAAGAUUGAUUGGAGUCAAUGAAGAAACAGGAGAGAGUGCAGAUGACAUAAAAAAACUGUUCACAGAAGUGAUGGCAGGAAACUUCCCAAGCAGGAGAAAAGAACUUGACGUACAGAUAAGUGAGGCAUAUAGGACUCCAAAUAGCCUUGAUCAAAAAAAAAUCUACACAUAGGCAUGUAAUUGUUAAGAUUCCAGAAACUCAACAGAAGAACAAAGUUUUCCAAGCAGUCAGAGAAAAGAAACAAAUCACAUACAAAGGAAAGCCCAUCAGGAUCACAGCAGACUUCUCAAUGCAAACCCUCAAGGAAAGAAGAGCUUGGAGUGAUGUAUUUCAAGCCCUAAAGGAAAACAGCCUCCAACCCAGAUUGAUUUACCCUGCAAAACUAUCUUUCAAAAUUGAUGGAGAAAUAAGAUACUUUCAUGACAAAGAGCACCUUAGGAACUUCAUAAAUAUCAAACCAGCACUCCAAAAAAUUUUGGAAAAUAUCCUAGGAAAAGACAAUGAGGAUCACAACCCCAGGAAACCAGCAGAAUGAAUACAUCAGGUAUGACAAGAAAUUAAAUGCAAAAGGGGAGAAUCCAACAAAAAGAAAAAGUCACGCCAAUGAUAAGUCAAUACGUAUCAGUUAUAACCAUCAAUGUUAAUGGUCUCAGUUCACCAGUGAAGAGAAAUAGACUGGCAGAGUGGGUCAAGAAGCAAGAUCCAACAAUAUGCUGCAUACAAGAAACACACUUAAUUCAAAAAGAAACUCAUAGACUGAGAGUUAAUGAGUGGAAAACAAUACUCCUUGCGACAGGAAAAACAGAGUAGCUAUCCUCUUUGGAGAUCAAGUAGAUUUCAAACCAACACUGAUUACGAGAGACAAAGAAGGACAUUUCAUCCUGGUAAAGGAAACAAUCCAAGAGGAAGAAAUGACAAUCAUAAACAUAUAU
ensembl:lncRNA